AGUGGACGCUGGUGGUAGGCCUAACACAUGCAAGUCGAACGGCAGCACAGUAAGAGCUUGCUCUUACGGGUGGCGAGUGGCGGACGGGUGAGGAAUACAUCGGAAUCUACUUUUUCGUGGGGGAUAACGUAGGGAAACUUACGCUAAUACCGCAUACGACCUACGGGUGAAAGCAGGGGAUCUUCGGACCUUGCGCGAUUGAAUGAGCCGAUGCCGGAUUAGCUAGUUGGCGGGGUAAAGGCCCACCAAGGCGACGAUCCGUAGCUGGUCUGAGAGGAUGAUCAGCCACACUGGAACUGAGACACGGUCCAGACUCCUACGGGAGGCAGCAGUGGGGAAUAUUGGACAAUGGGCGCAAGCCUGAUCCAGCCAUACCGCGUGGGUGAAGAAGGCCUUCGGGUUGUAAAGCCCUUUUGUUGGGAAAGAAAAGCAGCAGGUUAAUACCCCGCUGUUCUGACGGUACCCAAAGAAUAAGCACCGGCUAACUUCGUG
rnacentral:rRNA from 1 species